UACGUAGGGUGCAAGCGUUAAUCGGAAUUACUGGGCGUAAAGCGUGCGCAGGCGGUUGUGCAAGACAGGGGGGAAAUCCCCGGGCUUAACCUGGGAAUGGCCUUUGUGACUGCACGGCUAGAGUGUGUCAGAGGGGGGUAGAAUUCCACGUGUAGCAGUGAAAUGCGUAGAGAUGUGGAGGAAUACCGAUGGCGAAGGCAGCCCCCUGGGAUAACACUGACGCUCAGGCACGAAAGCGUGGGGAGCAAACAGG
rnacentral:rRNA from 1 species